rnacentral:rRNA from 1 species
UUGGCGGUUCGCUGCUGGCGACGUCGCGAGAAGUCCACUGAACCUUAUCAUUUAGAGGAAGGAGAAGUCGUAACAAGGUUUCCGUAGGUGAACCUGCGGAAGGAUCAUUGUCGAAACAGGCCCUGCAGAGCAAACAGCGAACAUGUACACUCACUUCGAUGAAUGCCCUCGAGCAUUUGUCAUGCGACUCUGUGGGUUUAUCCCUGCAGAGCAAACAACAACCAACCCCGGCGCGGUGAGCGUCAAGGAAAACAAACACAAGAGAGAUCGUUCUCCAAGCCCUUUGGCGAGGAAGCGAACUCAUUGUGGCCAACAUAUAAAAUGACUCUCGGCAACGGAUAUCUCGGCUCUCGCAUCGAUGAAGAACGUAGCGAAAUGCGAUACUUGGUGUGAAUUGCAGAAUCCCGUGAACCAUCGAGUCUUUGAACGCAAGUUGCGCCCUAUGCCUUCGGGCUGAGGGCACGUCUGCCUGGGUGUCACACAUUGUCGCCCCCUCGAACAAUCGAGAAAGAGGGCGGAAACUGGCCUCCCGUCGACUAUAGUCUCCGGCUGGUCCAAAUGAGAGCCAUUGGCAUUGCGCGUUGCGGCAUCUGGUGGUUGGACACCGUUUGAUGGAGCUGCUGGCGCGCGUUUGCCACAUGAUAAACGGAAGCUCAAGGCCCUUAAACUAUACAGACGCGACCCCAGGUCAGGCGGAGCACCCGCUAGUUUAGCAUAUCAAUAGCGGAGGAAAGAAACUUCCNAGGAUU